rnacentral:rRNA from 1 species
GACGAACGCUGGCGGCGUGCUUAACACAUGCAAGUCGAACGGAAAGGCCCUGCUUUUGUGGGGUGCUCGAGUGGCGAACGGGUGAGUAACACGUGAGUAACCUGCCCUUGACUUUGGGAUAACUUCAGGAAACUGGGACUAAUACCGGAUAGGAGCUCCUGCUGCAUGGUGGGGGUUGGAAAGUUUCGGCGGUUGGGGAUGGACUCGCGGCUUAUCAGCUUGUUGGUGGGGUAGUGGCUUACCAAGGCUUUGACGGGUAGCCGGCCUGAGAGGGUGACCGGCCACAUUGGGACUGAGAUACGGCCCAGACUCCUACGGGAGGCAGCAGUGGGGAAUAUUGCACAAUGGGCGGAAGCCUGAUGCAGCAACGCCGCGUGCGGGAUGACGGCCUUCGGGUUGUAAACCGCUUUCGCCUGUGACGAAGCGUGAGUGACGGUAAUGGGUAAAGAAGCACCGGCUAACUACGUGCCAGCAGCCGCGGUGAUACGUAGGGUGCGAGCGUUGUCCGGAUUUAUUGGGCGUAAAGGGCUCGUAGGUGGUUGAUCGCGUCGGAAGUGUAAUCUUGGGGCUUAACCCUGAGCGUGCUUUCGAUACGGGUUGACUUGAGGAAGGUAGGGGAGAAUGGAAUUCCUGGUGGAGCGGUGGAAUGCGCAGAUAUCAGGAGGAACACCAGUGGCGAAGGCGGUUCUCUGGGCCUUUCCUGACGCUGAGGAGCGAAAGCGUGGGGAGCGAACAGGCUUAGAUACCCUGGUAGUCCACGCUGUAAACGGUGGGUACUAGGUGUGGGGUCCAUUCCACGGGUUCCGUGCCGUAGCUAACGCUUUAAGUACCCCGCCUGGGGAGUGCGGCCGCAAGGCUAAAACUCAAAGGAAUUGACGGGGCCCCGCACAAGCGGCGGAGCAUGCGGAUUAAUUCGAUGCAACGCGUAGAACCUUACCUGGGUUUGACAUGGAUCGGGAGUGCUCAGAGAUGGGUGUGCCUCUUUUGGGGUCGGUUCACAGGUGGUGCAUGGCUGUCGUCAGCUCGUGUCGUGAGAUGUUGGGUUAAGUCCCGCAACGAGCGCAACCCUUGUUCACUGUUGCCAGCACGUUAUGGUGGGGACUCAGUGGAGACCGCCGGGGUCAACUCGGAGGAAGGUGGGGAUGACGUCAAGUCAUCAUGCCCCUUAUGUCCAGGGCUUCACGCAUGCUACAAUGGCUGGUACAGAGAGUGGCGAGCCUGUGAGGGUGAGCGAAUCUCGGAAAGCCGGUCUCAGUUCGGAUUGGGGUCUGCAACUCGACCUCAUGAAGUCGGAGUCGCUAGUAAUCGCAGAUCAGCAACGCUGCGGUGAAUACGUUCCCGGG